AAACUUACCCUUCAGGGGCGAUACCAUGAUCAGGAAGGUGGUUCUCCCAGAGCGAGGCUUAUCCAUUGCACUCUGGAUAUGUUGAUCCCUGUGAUUUCCCCAAAUGUGGGAAACUCGACUGCAUAAUUUGUGGUAUUGGGGGACUAUGUUCACUCUUUUCCCUG
ensembl:snRNA U1 U1 spliceosomal RNA